AGCAGCUGGAGAAAACCAAAACCAAUAACAGGGUGUUGGAUGAAGACUUCUACAAGCAACCCUUCUCUGAGCUCAUUGGUUAUGUCACACAUAUUAACCAUCCUUGCUACCGCCUAGACCAGUUAAGUAAAAAUAUAAAACCCCAGAAUUUCAAAAUACUUUAUCAUUUUCACAGGGGUUAGAUGCAGUUCUGUCUGUGUAUGUGUUUAUAGUGCAUUGCAGAGGUACCCAGUUGAAUAGCACAAGAGUUAGAUCCAGAGCUUAGAGUUUGGUAUAAUGUUCCUCCUGUGAUGUUGUGGUCCUUCUAGUCCCUUGUGUAUUGUAGAUGGUUGUGAAAGUGAAUGCUCAUUAGCUUCUCACCUGCCCUAUUUUUCUUUGUGUACUGUGUUUAAGUUAUUAGCUCAGGUGGGGUGGAGACUACAAAAGAUCCUUUUAAGUAGAACCAAAGAAUAGCAUUGGAGUUUCAUGUUUAUGGGUGGGGUGUCACAAGAGUUUAGCCAUAUCUGUGGCUUGCAUCUCAAAUUGCCUUGUAAUAGUGGAACUGAUCCAUUUAAAUUUUUUUUAUUUUUAUUUAUUUAUUUUUGUUCUUGUUUGCAUUUGUUUAACUACAUAAGUAAUCUUUGUAAAGGCCUUU